AAUAAGGUGCCUGAAUAAAGGGUUAUUUUGAUAGAAUAAAUUAUGUGAGUACCCUCACCCUCAUUA
rnacentral:tRNA from 1 species